CUCCCCAGUAACUGAGACUAUAAGCGCGUGACACCAUGCCCAGCUAAAACCACAACUGGAGCUGAGUUAAGCAUUGUCCUCCUCUGCAUUCUCUCUUGGAAUAACCCCUCCCAUCCAUGAAAGGAAUAAAACACUUGUCAUGA